rnacentral:lncRNA from 1 species
UUGGCGCUCGCGAUGGUCAAAGAAGUUCGAUGCAAAGCAACCCGACUGACAUUCGAAGUACUUUGCACUGACAAUGACUGAACUGCGGCGGCAGGUCUAGUUGGUGCCUCACCAACAACGAUGACAUCAUCGUCUUGUCCGAUGGACACUACUGGCACUAGUGGUGGGGGCGACGUCUGCUGCAGCGAAGAUCCUCGGGGUGGCGAUGGCGGUUGAGU